UGCGUACAUAACAUAGAACAGGCCAAACAGGCUGCCUUCCAGAACUGCCUGCAUAAGCAGAAAAAGUGGCAAGAAGGUACCAUCGACUUUUCCCAGAGCCACUCCUCCUCUUACAUCUGUGUACCACCCUAAGGAGUACCUCAGGCACACUCAGUAAUGUGACACGAGCAUCACCAGCCUGAGAUAUGACAUCACUACAGCUGAUGUGACCCAACAGUUCAUUACCACUGCCUACAGGAUGCACAGAGCUGGCUGCGAGAGGGCACAUAGGAUCUGGCUUUGCAUCGCAAACAGGCCUACAGUUAUGUCGCUUUCAAGGUGGUAUUUCAGGUUUUCCCAACUUGCUAGAUCAUCUGUCUUCCUUGGUUACAAGCUGACAGUAUAUUUCAGGAACAUGACAAGCCACCUAAUCACAGAUUUACAAGAAAAAGUGAUAGCAUUACUGGAAGAAAACCAGACUUUUAGGAAAUGGAAAGAGAUCAAGGUAGAAGGUCUCAAGUUUUUAUGGGAAGGGAACAGGGAUAUGAUCACGGCCUUCCAAGACAAGAAUAUGGCUGCCUGGGAAAAGAAUAUGACUCUCUGGAAAAAAAAACAUGAACCUUUGGGACAAUGUCAACACUCUACUAAUGGAUGAAAUGGAAGUCUGGGAAAAGGACCUAGUCCAAUGGAAAGCUGGGCUGGACCUUUGGAAGAAGGAACUGGACCUUUGGAAAGAGGAACAAGAAUUUCUUGGAGAGUAAAAAACAUUCACAGAAGAAAACACAACAAUUGUAUUGGCCAGAAACCAAAGGUGAUGCACUCACAUGCUUAAAAUGAUUUCUGCCUUCUUAAGCUAAUAAAGCCUUAACUGCUCUUUGAA